rnacentral:rRNA from 1 species
GAUGAACGCUAGCGGCAGGCCUAAUACAUGCAAGUCGAACGGUAACAUGAGUAGCAAUACUUGAUGACGAGUGGCGCACGGGUGCGUAACACGUAUGUAAUCUUCCCACAACUGGGGGAUAGCCCGGAGAAAUCCGGAUUAAUACCCCAUAACCCAGCGAGGUGGCAUCACCUUUCUGGUAAAUCUCCGGAGGUUGUGGAUGAACAUGCGUCCGAUUAGCUAGUCGGCGGGGUAACGGCCCACCAAGGCUACGAUCGGUAGGGGUACUGAGAGGUUAAACCCCCACACUGGUACUGAGACACGGACCAGACUCCUACGGGAGGCAGCAGUAAGGAAUAUUGGACAAUGGAGGCAACUCUGAUCCAGCCAUGCCGCGCGAAGGAUGAAGGCGCUAUGCGUUGUAAACUUCUUUUGAACGGGAAAAAACCCCUUUACGUGUAAAGGGUUGAUUGUACCGUUAGAAUAAGGGUCGGCUAACUUCGUGCCAGCCGCCGCUGUAAUAC